rnacentral:sRNA from 1 species
AUGUAAAUAGUAUUCCAAAAUCAUUGGAAGAGGAAAGACGACUUUUCUAUGUUGCAAUUACAAGGGCUAUAGAUAAUCUAUAUAUAUAUUCAGUUGAAAA